UUUUUUUUUUUUUUUUUUUUGCAUAGAAAAAUAAGUUAAAAUAUUUGUAAUCUACUUCCCUUUUAUUAUUUCAUAAAUUAAAUGUCCCACAGAUAGAAACCUGAAAGAACUGACCUCGUUGCAACCGAAAACAGUAUAAAGUAUGCUCAGUAUUAUGAUUCAAUUGCGUGGCUCUCAAAUCGUAUGCUAGACCCCUAGUCAUGUUUUCCAGUUUUCAGUAGAUCCCCCCCCCCCCCCU